rnacentral:rRNA from 1 species
GGACUACAGGGGUAUCUAAUCCUGUUUGCUCCCCUAGCUUUCGCAGAUCAGCGUCAGUGAUGGUCCAGUAGCCUGCUUUCGCCAUAGGUAUUCCUCCCGAUAUCUACGCAUUUCACCGCUACACCGGGAAUUCCAGCUACCUCUACCACACUCCAGCCGGGUAGUUUCCCUUGACCUCUCCCAGUUAAGCCGGGAGCUUUCACAAGAGACUUACCCAACCGCCUACCUGCGCUUUACACCUAGUGAUUCCGAGUAACGCUUGCCACCUACGUAUUACCGCGGCUGCUGGCAC